GACGAACGCUGGCGGCGUGCUUAACACAUGCAAGUCGAACGAUGAUGCUGGAGCUUGCUCCAGUUGAUUAGUGGCGAACGGGUGAGUAACACGUGAGCAAUCUGCCCUUGACUCUGGGAUAACUGCGGGAAACUGUAGCUAAUACCGGAUACUUUCACCGGAAGGCAUCUUUUGGUGAUGAAAGAAUUUCGGUCAGGGAUGAGCUCGCGGCCUAUCAGCUUGUUGGUGAAGUAACGGCUCACCAAGGCGACGACGGGUAACCGGCCUGAGAGGGUGACCGGUCACACUGGGACUGAGACACGGCCCAGACUCCUACGGGAGGCAGCAGUGGGGAAUAUUGCACAAUGGGCGCAAGCCUGAUGCAGCAACGCCGCGUGAGGGAUGACGGCCUUCGGGUUGUAAACCUCUUUUAGUAGGGAAGAAGCGAAAGUGACGGUACCUGCAGAAAAAGCACCGGCUAACUACGUGCCAGCCGCCGCGGUAA
rnacentral:rRNA from 1 species